rnacentral:tRNA from 1 species
AAAGAAAUAUUUAAAAAAAAGCUUCUAACUUUUUAUAAAGCAAAAAAAUGUUUAU